CGGCUACGUUGGAAACAGUUAGGAACCUCGGGCAGGAGGCUGGCCUCUGGCAGAGGCUCCUGAUCCUCCUCAGUGUCGACUUUAAGAGUCGUGGCUGCAUCAGCAGUAGAUAAGUGUCAUUUCCCUCUUUUCCUCUUCAUCUCUUCUACAUCUGGGUCCAGCAUGAUCUUUCUGUUUGCUCACAUUCUCGUCCUUUUGAAGGAGAAAUAAAACUCAGGACACAGUGGCGUGAGCUCCUGUGAUGGCAGCCUUGUCUUAGCCUCCCUGGAAUCCUGGAGUGCUCACCCGGGACAAGGCUGGGGGCCUGCCCACCAGAGGCCACUCAUACAAGGGAACCCGCUGUCGCAGGGGAAGAUGGCCUGCAUUUAUCAGGAGUGGCAGUUCAUUUCCCAUCCUGUCUCUGAAGGUCUGUGGUUUCUUUGUAAAAAGCAUUACGAUAGAUCAAAAUGUGUCCACAACAACCAUGUAGGUUUGUGAGAUAGGCUAAAAACAUAAUUUUGUACCAUUGUGUGAAUUUGGAAGCCAGAUUUAGUCUUGCUCUCCUCCCCAAAUCUAGCACGUAAGGGCACACCCAUCAUUUUGGACUUGGGCAUUUUAAAAUCAGUCUUUGUGUUUAUUCAAUCCUGUUUUAAGAUAGUUUUCUAAUAAUCUGAACCCUUAUCCCAUGCCAUUAUGCAAUGGUUCUUAGCCAUUCUGCUGUUAUAGAAAGCUGUGGACCUGUCAGUGAUGAAAGCAACAUUGAAUAUUUGCAUUCAGAGAAACGUUUGCAGAAUCCAGUUUGAAAGGGUACAGAAAGUAAUUUUUAGAGUUUGGAUUGGAAAGUACUUCAUUUCACUGAGGUUAGACACCUGACUUGUGUAGAGUGCAUCUUGAGUCUGGCAGAGGGCUUGUGUAGUUAACGUGUAGGAAUGGGUCUGAAGCCAGUAGGCCUGUGAGGCGAUGUGGGGACCAGGCUUCCCAUUUCAGAGUAAUUCGUCUAAUGUUACCCUUUUUCAUGGGGGCUGGUGUUGCGGGAGCUGUUGCCACUAUCUUUUCAGUGGUUUGUAUGUUAUUUCUAUUAUCAGCUUAGCUGUUGUAGGAAAAAACUAGUUGGACUUGUUUAUUUUCUAGAGGCUUUUAUAAGUACACCUAAGAAUUUGUCAGGGAGAAUAUAAUUCUAUGAUAACGAAUCCCAUACUACAAAACAGUGAUCAAUGGUGUACGCGUGUGUGUGUGUGUGUAUUCUUCCAUCUAGCUAUUUCUUUGAUACUUGUAAUUUUAAAUUCAAAAUAUGAAAUAAUAUAAAACCUUUUCUGGUUUACAGUGUGUAAAAUCUUACCCAAGCCGACGGACUCCUUCAUUUCCUACCUCAGUGUGCACUCGGCUAUUUUUCGCACCAGUCUGUGUAUGUGCAAAUGUCAGUCUCGUACUUUAAUUGCUACUGUAAAUAACUGCUUUGAAAGAUUACUUCCUAUUUUAUGAUGAAACCUAGCUGUCUCCAGAGUUUAAAUACAGUUUUUAAGGCACUUGGAUUAAAUUUCUCGCUACAUAUAAACAGUUUAGCAUUA
rnacentral:lncRNA from 1 species